rfam:Chelonia mydas contig259397, whole genome shotgun sequence.
AUGAAAGUGGGGCGACAUGAUCUUUCUGACUUUUUUGGGUUUUAAACAGGGAUAACUGGCUUGUGGAGACCAAGUGUUCAUAGUCAUGUUGCUUUUUGAUACUUCAAUGUCGGCUCUUCCUAUCACUGUGAUGCAGAAUUCACCAAGCGUUGGCUGGUUCAUCCACUAAUAGGGAACAUGAGCUCGGUUUCAGCUGUUGCAAGACAGGUUCGUUUUACCCUGCUGAUGAUGUGUGGUUGCAAUAGCAAUCCUGUUCAGUCAUAGGGGAACUGCAGAUUCAAACAUUUGGUAUAUGUGCUUGGAUGAGGUGCCAUUGGGGUGAAGCUCCCAUCUGCGGGAUUAUGACUGAAUGCUGUGGAGCCUUGUUUGGCUCUGGAGGGCUGGCCACACACUCCAGGGGAUAGGUUAGGUCAUCAUAUGGAGAGCCAUUCAUGGAGGGACUGGAGUGCGAACAGAAGGGAGCCACCUCUGACUCAUAGUGGGCUGCAUGUUCAUGGUCUCAUAGAUGAGCUGCUUAUGGGUCAGGGUUUCAUGUGUAGCAGAGCAGCUACCUCACUGUGAUCUGUGUAAAGUCAGCCUCUGAUAUAAGACUUU